rnacentral:rRNA from 1 species
UACGUAGGGUGCAAGCGUUGUCCGGAAUCAUUGGGCGUAAAGAGCGUGUAGGCGGCUCGGUAAGUCCGCUCUGAAAGCCCGGGGCUCAACCCCGGGAGGCGGGCGGAUACUGUCGGGCUAGAGUCCGGAAGAGGCGAGUGGAAUUCCUGGUGUAGCGGUGAAAUGCGCAGAUAUCAGGAGGAACACCAAUGGCGAAGGCGGCUCUCUAGUACGGUACUGACGCUGAGACGCGAAAGCGUGGGGAGCGAACAGG